rfam:Gossypium raimondii Chr02_contig_1190, whole genome shotgun sequence.
UAUUAAAAAUUCAUCUAUUUUUACUUUUAAAGAUUAGUAUGUUUGACGAAAUAAUCAGGCAGUGACAUGUGGUGCAUUACAUGUACAUUAUGUUCAUGUAUAAGAACCAAUUUUUAACAGUAAAAAUAGAUCAAAUUUUUAACU